rnacentral:tRNA from 1 species
GCAUAGGUGGUUGACUGGUAGAAUGUUCGCCUGCCACUCGUCUGAUCAGGGUUCGACCCCUGCCUUAUGCG